rnacentral:rRNA from 1 species
GACGAACGCUGGCGGCGUGCCUAAUACAUGCAAGUCGAACGAACCGCGACUGAGUGCUUGCACUAAGUCAAGGUGAGUGGCGAACGGGUGAGUAACACGUGGGUAACCUACCUCAUAGUGGGGGAUAACAGUCGGAAACGACUGCUAAUACCGCAUAGGACAUGGGAUCACAUGAUUCUGUGAGGAAAGGUGGCGCAAGCUAUCGCUAAGAGAUGGACCCGCGGUGCAUUAGCUAGUUGGUAGGGUAACGGCCUACCAAGGCGAUGAUGCAUAGCCGACCUGAGAGGGUGAUCGGCCACAUUGGGACUGAGACACGGCCCAAACUCCUACGGGAGGCAGCAGUAGGGAAUCUUCCGCAAUGGACGCAAGUCUGACGGAGCAACGCCGCGUGAGUGAAGAAGGUCUUCGGAUCGUAAAGCUCUGUUGUUAGAGAAGAACAAGCGCAUAGAAGUAA